UACGUAGGCAGCAAGCGUUGUUCGGAAUUACUGGGCGUAAAGAGUGUGUAGGCGGUGCUCUAAGUCUGUUGUGAAAUCUCCCGGCUUAACCGGGAGGGUGCGGCGGAAACUGGAGUGCUUGAGGGUGGGAGAGGUAAGCGGAAUUCCUGGUGUAGCGGUGAAAUGCGUAGAUAUCAGGAGGAACACCUGUGGUGUAGACAGCUUACUGGACCACUUCUGGCGCUGAGACACGAAAGCGUGGGUAGCAAACAGG
rnacentral:rRNA from 1 species